GGUGAACGCUGGCGGUAGGCCUAACACAUGCAAGUCGAACGGCAGCACAGUAAGAGCUUGCUCUUACGGGUGGCGAGUGGCGGACGGGUGAGGAAUACAUCGGAAUCUACUUUUUCGUGGGGGAUAACGUAGGGAAACUUGCGCUAAUACCGCAUACGACCUACGGGUGAAAGCAGGGGAUCUUCGGACCUUGCGCGAUUGAAUGAGCCGAUGUCGGAUUAGCUAGUUGGCGGGGUAAAGGCCCACCAAGGCGACGAUCCGUAGCUGGUCUGAGAGGAUGAUCAGCCACACUGGAACUGAGACACGGUCCAGACUCCUACGGGAGGCAGCAGUGGGGAAUAUUGGACAAUGGGCGCAAGCCUGAUCCAGCCAUACCGCGUGGGUGAAGAAGGCCUUCGGGUUGUAAAGCCCUUUUGUUGGGAAAGAAAAGCAGCAGGUUAAUACCCCGCUGUUCUGACGGUACCCAAAGAAUAAGCACCGGCUAACUUCGUG
rnacentral:rRNA from 1 species